UGCAGUCGAGCGGACUGAUGGGAGCUUGCUCCCUGAUGUUAGCGGCGGACGGGUGAGUAACACGUGGGCAACCUGCCUGUAAGACUGGGAUAACUCCGGGAAACCGGGGCUAAUACCGGAUAACCCGUUCCACCUCAUGGUGGAGCGGUAAAAGAUGGCCUCUGGCUAUCACUUACAGAUGGGCCCGCGGCGCAUUAGCUAGUUGGUAAGGUAACGGCUUACCAAGGCGACGAUGCGUAGCCGACCUGAGAGGGUGAUCGGCCACACUGGGACUGAGACACGGCCCAGACUCCUACGGGAGGCAGCAGUAGGGAAUCUUCCGCAAUGGACGAAAGUCUGACGGAGCAACGCCGCGUGAGUGAUGAAGGUUUUCGGAUCGUAAAGCUCUGUUGUUAGGGAAGAACAAGUGCCGUUUGAAUAAGGCGGCACCUUGACGGUACCUAACCAGAAAGCCACGGCUAACUACGUGCCAGCAGCCGCGGUAAUACGUAGGUGGCAAGCGUUGUCCGGAAUUAUUGGGCGUAAAGCGCGCGCAGGCGGUCUCUUAAGUCUGAUGUGAAAGCCCACGGCUCAACCGUGGAGGGUCAUUGGAAACUGGGAGACUUGAGUACAGAAGAGGAGAGUGGAAUUCCACGUGUAGCGGUGAAAUGCGUAGAUAUGUGGAGGAACACCAGUGGCGAAGGCGACUCUCUGGUCUGUAACUGACGCUGAGGCGCGAAAGCGUGGGGAGCAAACAGGAUUAGAUACCCUGGUAGUCCACGCCGUAAACGAUGAGUGCUAGGUGUUAGGGGUUUCGAUGCCCUUAGUGCCGAAGUUAACACAUUAAGCACUCCGCCUGGGGAGUACGACCGCAAGGUUGAAACUCAAAGGAAUUGACGGGGGCCCGCACAAGCAGUGGAGCAUGUGGUUUAAUUCGAAGCAACGCGAAGAACCUUACCAGGUCUUGGACAUCCUUUGACCACUCUA
rnacentral:rRNA from 2 species